CAGUUGGACUGUCUCUGGAAGGUUGCGGGCGAACCAGAAAUGUAGUGACCUCCAGGAAGGAAAAUUGCUACUACUCUUUUCCACAUAUCCUUUGAUCACUUUUAAAUUGUGUUCCAUUUGCAAGUACUACCUACUCAAAUGGAAAGAAUAAAACAUGGUUACCUGGGAAGGAAGAUAAAAAGAGAGUCCUUUUCCAUAUUAGUGCUAAGCACUUCGUACAGUUCGUCCUUAACUGGACAAGAAUUACGGAAUCUCUAUAGGAUGAUGUCAGGAGCUGUGCUGGAUUCUGGAGACUCAGCGUCUACAAAACAGCAUCCCUUGCCUCACAGCGAUCCCAGUUGGGAGAGCAAUUCAGACAGACAGCAAGGCAAUGAACACGCAGUGUCAGAAGCGUGAUGAUGAGAAGUGCAGACACCAGGGAAUUGCAAAGGAGGCUCCUCUGCCCAGACCUGGGGAGAAAAGACCUUUCUGGACCCAGUGAUAUCCAAGCUGAGACCAGGAGUUAGUCGGAGGGGAAGAGAGCUCCAGGCACAGGGAACAGCACAACAUACGCAAAGACUGCAGGAGCCGUAUAAAACUUGACUGCUUCCUUGGAACUGCAAGCAGUCAACAUGUCUGGAGUAUUGAGUUUGGAGAGGGUGUGUGGAAGAAUGAAGCCACAGAGACGAAGUCUGACUCUGUAGCCCAGGCUGGCGUGCAGUGGCGUUAUCUCGGCUCACAACAACCUCUGCCUCCCGGGUUCAAGCGAUUCUCCUGCCUCAGCCUCCAGAGCAGCUGGGAUUAUAGGUGCGUGCCACUGCACCCGGCUAAUGUUUUGUUUAUUUAGUAGAGACAGGGUUUCGCCAUGUUGGCCAGGCUAGUCUUGAACUCCCGACCUCAGGUAAUCCACCUGCCUCGGCCUCCCAAAGUGCUAGGAUUACAGGCGUGAGCCACCGUGCUUGGCCUACUAUCAUUUUUUUCUAUUUAAUGUUUUGUAAGUAAGUGAGGAAACUGAGGCUCAAAGAGGUUAAAUUUAGUAGAAAAUCUUACAGGGUCACAAAUGGAAUAAUAUAAAUGUCUAGGGGCACAGCUAGCCCAGGGAGAGUGGGGAUCUCACCCAGACAUGCACUGUCUGCCAUGCGACCUCCCCAUUCAGAUAGAGCAGUGGUUGUUGUCAAUAAGGGUGGUGAUUUUGCCCUCAGGAGACAUUUGAAAGUGUCUGGAAACAUUUUUGGUUGUCACAACUGGGAAGAUGCUACUGGCAUCUCAUAGGUAACUAACAUCCUACAAUGUAGGAUGCUCAAAAUAUCAACGUCACAACUGAGAAAUCCUAGAGAAUAAGUUGUAGAGGGCAGGCACAGAGAGGUAGUCAAGGGGUGAGCGUGAGAAUUUUGGAAGGGAGUUUUUUCUUUUUUCUUUCUUUUUUUUUUUGAGAUGGGGUCUUGCCUGCUUGUUGCCCAGGCUGGAGUGCAGUGCUGCAAUCAUAGCUCACUGCAGCCUUGAACUCCUGGGCUGGAGCAAUCAUCCCAUGUCAGCCUCUUGAGUAGCUGACAGGUGUGUGCCACCAUGCCUGGCUAAUUUUUAUAUUUUUAAUAGAGACAACAGGGUCUCACUAUGUUGCCCAGGCUGGUCUCAAACUCCUAGGCUCAAGUGAUCUACCCACCUUGGCCUCCCAAAAAGAGUGCUGGGAUUACAGGUGUGAGCUGCCAUGCCCGGGCAGGAAGAGACAUUUUUUAAAGGCCUUGUAAAUACUGUACUUAUAGCAGCAAGAGACAGGAGUCAGCUCCAGUAAAGCCUGGGAUGGACACAGCACAUCCUUUCCUGACGUUCCUGCUGCUUCCAAGCACCAGCCUUAAGAGCCCAGAGGAAACUGCUAAUGAAUUUCCCUAGAGUUACCCAGAACUAAUUCUGAGGGGUUUCCUGCCACCUCUCAGGUCCGGGACUGUUAAGGGGUACCAGCCAAGAUGUCCAACUCCUCACCAGCAUAUUCUGCCAGACCAGGGCACCCUGCUCUGAUCAUGCUGAGACAUGGGACCCAAGUCCAACACGUUUGGUCAAUGCAUGAUUUCAAAGAAUUGUAACAUCAGCAGCAGAGAAACUGGAGACCCAAAGAAUGGAUUCAAAUGCUUGUUGCCUGAAUCUGCUCUUCUCACAAGUCCCUCAAUAUUGUACCUGAAUAUAAUACCUUCUCCUGCAUCAAGAGAGGACAUUAGGUGGGUCCCAGCUGCCUCUUCAGGGAUUUAACAGGCUAACCAGGAGCUCUCACUUGUCUUUCUACCUGCAAACUACAGAAUGGGUGCAGAUCUUUCCAGGAAGCUUAUAAAAGCUCACAGGGUGAGGCGAAAGUUGGCUUAGUCUCAGAGAUUCAUUGUUGUUGGGAACGUAGAGCCCUGAGCGCUUUAAGUCCUGAAAAUCUUCUAGUUUCUGAUCUUUAGCUCAACUUUUAACUGUUUUCCUCCUGAUUUUUGUUUGGCUUUCUGAUUUGAUUCUCUGGUUUGACAUAUGUGUCUGUCUUAAUUAGGUUUUCCAGCAGGUCAUGGCCCUGUCCCGGGCCCAUGUAAACCAUCAAAGGCUUGCCUCAGUCAUCCCUAUACCAGCUUCUCACCUUGCCCAGUCUUAGGGCCUGGGAUCUAAGAGCCCUCUGGAAGAUCUACCCUUUUUCUACAUCUGAAAACUCACUAUUAGAGAGUUAAAGUCUUCGAAACAUUCCAUGUUUCCCAAGGGUCCACAUGGCAAUUUUGUGAUAUAUUUAUAGGUAGCAAGUGGAACAAAGGGGUUUGUAGCCAAAUAAAUUUGGAGAAUGUUAUGUGAGGUUAGUUUCUUGUCUACAACAAGGCUUAAUAUGCUUUGAACAGGUUAAACAUCCAUACAAUGAACUUAGUCAGCUCACAAUCCAGUACCCAAAACCCUUGGAACCAGAUAUAUUUGGAUUUCAGAAUAUUUCAGGUUUUAAUAAGGUAAAUGGUGAAUAUGCUAUUUAUUCCACUAUUUAUUCCAUUGCACCCAGAAGAGCUGGCAGGCCCUGUAAUCAAGCACAUACUUCUGCAGCAAAACAUAUGCAUCUUCAUACUAAGUAGGCUAAGUAAAAAAUCUGAAAAGCCACAACAUCAUUUUAGGUCAGGUUUUACCCCUAAGUCUUGUUUUGUUUUUUGAGACGGAGUCUUGCUCUGUUGCCCAGGCUGGAGUGCAGUGGUGUGAUCUCGGCUCACUGCAACCUUCACCUCCUGGGUUCAAGCGAUUCUCCUGUUUCAGCCCCCCUAGUGACUGGGAUUAUAGACACACACCACCACACUGGGCUAAUUUUUGUAUUUUUAGUAGACAUGGCAUUUCACUAUGUUGGCCAGGCUGGUCUCAAACUUCUGACCUCAAGUGAUCCAUCCACAUCGGCCUCCCAAAGUACUGGGAUUACAGGCAUGAGCCAUAGCACCCAGCCUGUUAUUUUUUAAAACUUAGUUUUUAGCACUUUUUGGACUUCAACCUGAUGGAUACAGGAUGGGGCCGUGUAGAUGGUGUUCCCAACAUAGAUGAUCUCAGAACUCCCUCUUCCAGGAGCAUCUAGCAGGACAGGUAUUUCAUGGACUCCAAGGAUACCCUCAGCUGUUAGUCUAUAACACAGGAGAGUGAACACAGUCGGUCAUUCUCACUUUAGCCUUAUCCUCUCCCACACCAACUAGAUGAGGUGAGGAUUCUGACAGCCAAACAAGGAGGAGAAGCUGGAGAGCCUGUGCAUGUGUGCAGAUGUGGUUGGGGAGUCAUGGUUCAGCUGUCAGCUUCUGGUGGAAAAGGGAUACCAAAAAGAGCGGCAUAGUGGACAUCCAGGUUAUGGUGGUUUUCUUCUGUGUACACUUCUGUGUUUUUCACAUUUCCUUUAGAAAUGACGAGCUUUUUCUCCCUUAUUGCUGUUUUCUACUGCAGGGAGUUGCUGCUCUUAGUGUUGCAGUGUGGGGAGGUAGGAUGGGGCUGACGCAGAGCCUGAGGGCAAGGCAGGGUUCCUGGGAAGAUGGAUUCCUGUGAUUCUGGCCUUGUGCCUCAGCCAGAGCUGAGGUGGGGUGGGGUGUAUGCCUAAGGCCAGGGUCCCCUGGGGAAGGAGGAGGAUGUUGGAUUUCUGGUGGAUUUCCAGGAAGACUUCCUGCUCUGACAAAAACAACACAAACACAGGAAGAGGCUCUGGGGCCUAAGGAGAGGGGAUAAUGGACCAAGGUGGAGACUUUUGGGGUGGAGGCUGAUACAGAGAGCAGCCCAGGAACAGAGAAGCUGCCUCCUCGCUGUCCAACUGUGUUCCCCAAGCCAGCUGAGAGUCUUUCUCUACUGUGGUGGCAAGUUGGGAACUGGAGGAAGAGGCCCAGUAACUUUGGACUCCCUGGCUUCUUCUCCACUUUUCAUUGAGUAUAAUAUUUCUUGGUGGCCUGGACCAUGAGGAUGGGGGUGGAGAGUAGGCAGUGGACUGCGGGGGGGCAUUUGGCUAAGGCCUCAGAUUAUGUAGGGCCUCAGAUACAGACCUUAAAUGUGUGGGGUCACACACCUGUCAGAGCUACAUUCAGCCUCACUGUGCGGGAUCAGGUGAAGACAUGCAUCCUAAACUUGCUACCAUUACCAGCCCUAUGGUGUGCUGUAAACUCAUUAUCUUCAUAUGGCUUGUGAAUUGCUCUGUUAUGUUGCAUUAUAUAUGUAUAUAUACACAUAUGUGUGUAUGGGACUCUGUGUGUGUGUUUGUUGUAAACCAAAAAUAAAAAUCUAAGGCUACCCCCACCAUCUGAAGAGACUCCCUCCUCUUGGCCAGGCCACUCCAAAGUUAACCUGAACAACUGUUUUCAGGCCAUGAGGGGAAGUGGGGGUUGGACCUGCCUCAUAAUGCCCUCCUGCCUUUUGGAAUUCAGGAAAAGCUGACCAGCAUUAACAACAACAUAGACCUUAAGUCUGAUAAAUAACCUUUACAAUCUAUUCUCUCCUGAAGCCUGCUAUCUGGAGGCUUCAUUUGCAUGAUAAAACUUUGGUCUCCAUAACCUCUUAUCAUAACCUAGAUAUUUCAUUCUAGUGAUAACUCUUUUAACCAUUGCCAAUGAGAAUUUUGUUUGUUUGUUUGAGAUGGAGUCUUGAGUGCAGGCUGGAAUGCAGUGGUGCAAUCUUGGCUCACUGCAACCUCCGCCUCCCAGCUUCAAAUGAUUCUCCUGCCUCAGCCUCCUGAGUAGCUAGGAUUACAGGUGCCUGCCACUACGCCCGGCUAAUUUUUGUAUUUUUUAGUAGAGACAGGGUUUUGCCAUGUUGGCCAGGCUGGUCUCAAACUCCUGACCUCAGAUGAUCUGCCCACCUCAGCCUACCGAAGUGCUGGGAUUACAGGCAUGAGCCACUGCACCCGGCCUAGAAAAUUUUUUAAUCUACCUAUAAUCUUGAAGGCUCUGUACCCCAUUCCCCAUUUUGAGUUGUCCCCCCUUUCUGGAUCUAACCAAUGUACAUCUUAAAUGUGUUGACUGAUGUCUCAUGCCUCCCUAAAAUGUAUAAAACCAAGCUGUGCCCCUACCACCUUGGGCACAUGUUCUCAGGGUCUCCUGAGGGCUGUAUCACAAGCUAUGGUCACCCAUAUUUGGCUCAGAA
rnacentral:lncRNA from 1 species